GGCAUGGAGUGGUAAAUAAAGAAGUUGAAAGAGGAAAAAGAAAUCACACUAACGUAUCUGGUGUUCGUUAAUUUAAGGAGCCAUUGAACAGCGUGAACAGUAUCAUUCUUAUCAUCACCUCUUUUGUAGGUGUCAUAGGCAACUCUGUAGGGAAUCGGCAAGACAAUCACCUACAAACACUGGACCAGAUCUCCCUGGAGUUGAGAUUUAUUAGGGCAGCUCCCUAUGGAGCCAGCAAAUCUCAGAUCUCUGGCAAAUGGACCAUGUGCAGACUGAGAAAUGUCACCAUCGCACGUUCACACAUUCACAGAAGCUCUGUCUGAUUAUCAUUUAAGUCUUUUGGGAUGAGCCUUUCUUUCCAAUGCUAGUAGGUGAAUGUACGAAUGGAAGUCUUAAAUCAUUCAGCACAGGAAAAAUCUGAAAAUACAGAACUAACAGUACAAAUUUCAUUUUGCUCAACUGGUUGUGCAUUUAUUCUAAAUUAAAAAUAGACAGACAGGGCCAUCCUUGACUCCUGACCCAGUGAAUUGUGUUAGACAAUCUGCAGAGACAUGAGGGUCUACUUUUCUAUUCAAAACUAAGGAGGAUUUUGGAGACAAUCCUUCUUGUGAAUAGAGCAAAUAAUUUAGCUCCUAAGCAUCCAUCUAAAAAAAUAAAAUAAAAUAAAAUAAAAAUAAAGCAACAGUAGCUUUCAGUGGUUAUUUAAUAGAUUUACACUUAUGAGAUAAAGCCAAUGUGAUGAUGUCUGUGAUUGUUUGUUGGUCUAAUUUAAA
ensembl:lincRNA